rnacentral:misc_RNA from 1 species
GGCGGGUACACAUGGGGAGGACUAUAGAGCCACCAACAGACAAUCAAACAAUGGGACGGAUGUAGAUAUAGAGAAGUUUGGGAUGCCUAUCUCACACUGGAGAAUUUAUUUCUUAGAUUGUCUUUCAGCCCUCCUAGCCUCUUAUAGAGACUUGUGUUAUAAGGACUGGUGAUUGUUGUUUGUAAUUGGGCACUUUACACUUUAUUCUUGUUCAUGCUCUCUUUUGAAGUUUCUUCAUCAUCAUUAAAAUGACAUAAUUUUUUUUCUUUUGAAAAAUUGUUUCUAAAUUAUCGAUCAAUUUUGUUAUCUUUUUAACAUUUUGAAUUUUUUUUUACAUACGUAUAAUUUUAUAUUAAAUGAUGUUGAUAUGUAAUAUAUGUAUAUAUAGUUUCAUUUUAUAUAGUUGUUUUUUACUUCUGAAUAAAAUGUUAUCAAGAACU